rnacentral:SRP_RNA from 1 species
AUUAAGAUGGUAGCGAGAGCUUGUAACCCGAGCGGGGGCAACAGGGUGGGUUCGGACGUUUGGUGGUGUCGUUGGGUCUGGGCUGCAGCUGUGCGAGGGGCUGGCCCGUCCGGGCCAAGUUGGGUAGUGGGCUAUGUGGGCCCAGGCGGAGGCUUGGGUCAAGUGGGCCCUGAAGUGGAGGGUAUUGCGUGAGGCUGGCUUCACAGAGCAGCGAACACCUCCCGCUCUCAACGGUGGACGGAUUGCGGGCCGCCGCAUUCUGAGUCUCACAUCGCCUGGUACUUGUGAGUCUGAGCCUG